CUAUGCGCCUUGCCAGCCCGCUCAGGUGUGCCAGUAGCCGCGGUAAUACAGAGGUCUCAAGCGUUGUUCGGAAUCACUGGGCGUAAAGCGUGCGUAGGCGGUUUCGUAAGUCGUGUGUGAAAGGCGGGGGCUCAACCCCCGGACUGCACAUGAUACUGCGAGACUAGAGUAAUGGAGGGGGAACCGGAAUUCUCGGUGUAGCAGUGAAAUGCGUAGAUAUCGAGAGGAACACUCGUGGCGAAGGCGGGUUCCUGGACAUUAACUGACGCUGAGGCACGAAGGCCAGGGGAGCGAAAGGG
rnacentral:rRNA from 1 species